GAAAAUUGAAAUUGAUUUUGAAAUCGAAUGAAAUUUGAGUAUGAUUAUUUACACGUGUAAAAGUAUGGAUAUAGGUACUAAUAACCUAACUAAAUUAGUUAACACACAAAAAUGGACUAAUCGAAUAAAUAAAAAUAAAAUAAAAUAGCAAGAUACUAUAUGGAAAAAGAAAUUAAAUAAAAUGGUAAGCAUAACAAAUAUAAAC
rnacentral:lncRNA from 1 species